rnacentral:rRNA from 1 species
UACGGAGGAUCCGAGCGUUAUCCGGAUUUAUUGGGUUUAAAGGGUGCGCAGGCGGAAGAUUAAGUCGGCGGUGAAAUUUUGCAGCUCAACUGUAAAAGUGCCAUCGAUACUGGUUUUCUUGAGUGUGGAUGAAGUAGGCGGAAUUUGUGGUGUAGCGGUGAAAUGCAUAGAUAUCACGAGGAACUCCGAUUGCGCAGGCAGCUUACUAAACUACUACUGACGCUCAGGCACGAAGGCGUGGGGAUCAAACAGGAUUAGA